rnacentral:lncRNA from 1 species
AUGAUGCUUUCUCUGGCUGACAAGGACUUACUCCACCCAGCCAAUCACAUGCCAGCCCCCAUGUGGCACAGCCUGGCCUUGACCGCGCCCCCACCUCCUGGCCCUGGCCUAUCACACUUGGAGGCCUCGGGGGCCAGCAACGUGACACCUGGCCCAUCAGCCUGCCGGUCAGAACCAUGGCCCAUCAGCCUGCCGGUCAGAACCAUGGCCCAUCAGCCUGCCGGUCAGAACCAUGGCCCAUCAGCCUGCCGGUCAGAACCAUGGCCCAUCAGCCUGCCGGUCAGAACCAUGGCCCAUCAGCCUGCCGGUCAGAACCAUGGCCCAUCAGCCUGCCGGUCAGAACCAUGGCCCAUCAGCCUGCCAUGGCCAUCAGCCUCCGGUCAAACCAUGGCCCAUCAGCCUGCCGGUCAGAACCAUGGCCCAUCAGCCUGCCGGUCAGAACCAUGGCCAUCAGCCUGCCGGUCAGAACCCUGGCCCAUCAGCCCUCUGGGCAGAACCAUGGCCCAUCAGCCUGCCGGUCAGAACCCUGGCCCAUCAGCCUGCCGGUCAGAACCAUGGCCCAUCAGCCUGCCGGUCAGAACCAUGGCCCAUCAGCCUGCCGGGCAGAACCCUGGCCCAUCAGACCUCUGGGCAGAACCAUGGCCCAUCAGCCUGCCGGUCAGAACCCUGGCCCAUCAGCCUGCCGGUCAGAACCAUGGCCCAUCAGCCUGCCGGUCAGAACCAUGGCCCAUCAGCCUGCCGGUCAGAACCAUGGCCCAUCAGCCUGCCGGUCAGAACCAUGGCUCAUCAGCCUGCCGGUCAGAACCAUGGCCCAUCAGCCUGCCGGUCAGAACCAUGGCCCAUCAGCCUGCCGGUCAGAACCAUGGCCCAUCAGCCUGCCGGUCAGAACCCUGGCCCAUCAGACCUCUGGGCAGAAUCAUGGCCCAUCAGCCUGCCGAGCGGAAUGCCUUACAUUUGAGCAGGGUCACUGUCCACACAGAGCCAACCAUCCAACCCCUCCAAGAGAUCAAAUGA